UGCCUAAUACAUGCAAGUCGAGCGAACAGACGAGGAGCUUGCUCCUCUGACGUUAGCGGCGGACGGGUGAGUAACACGUGGAUAACCUACCUAUAAGACUGGGAUAACUUCGGGAAACCGGAGCUAAUACCGGAUAAUAUAUUGAACCGCAUGGUUCAAUAGUGAAAGACGGUUUUGCUGUCACUUAUAGAUGGAUCCGCGCCGCAUUAGCUAGUUGGUAAGGUAACGGCUUACCAAGGCAACGAUGCGUAGCCGACCUGAGAGGGUGAUCGGCCACACUGGAACUGAGACACGGUCCAGACUCCUACGGGAGGCAGCAGUAGGGAAUCUUCCGCAAUGGGCGAAAGCCUGACGGAGCAACGCCGCGUGAGUGAUGAAGGUCUUCGGAUCGUAAAACUCUGUUAUUAGGGAAGAACAAAUGUGUAAGUAACUAUGCACGUCUUGACGGUACCUAAUCAGAAAGCCACGGCUAACUACGUGCCAGCAGCCGCGGUAAUACGUAGGUGGCAAGCGUUAUCCGGAAUUAUUGGGCGUAAAGCGCGCGUAGGCGGUUUUUUAAGUCUGAUGUGAAAGCCCACGGCUCAACCGUGGAGGGUCAUUGGAAACUGGAAAACUUGAGUGCAGAAGAGGAAAGUGGAAUUCCAUGUGUAGCGGUGAAAUGCGCAGAGAUAUGGAGGAACACCAGUGGCGAAGGCGACUUUCUGGUCUGUAACUGACGCUGAUGUGCGAAAGCGUGGGGAUCAAACAGGAUUAGAUACCCUGGUAGUCCACGCCGUAAACGAUGAGUGCUAAGUGUUAGGGGGUUUCCGCCCCUUAGUGCUGCAGCUAACGCAUUAAGCACUCCGCCUGGGGAGUACGACCGCACGGUUGAAACUCAAAGGAAUUGACGGGGACCCGCACAAGCGGUGGAGCAUGUGGUUUAAUUCGAAGCAACGCGAAGAACCUUACCAAAUCUUGACAUCCUCUGACCCCUCUAGAGAUAGAGUUUUCCCCUUCGGGGGACAGAGUGACAGGUGGUGCAUGGUUGUCGUCAGCUCGUGUCGUGAGAUGUUGGGUUAAGUCCCGCAACGAGCGCAACCCUUAAGCUUAGUCGCCAUCAUUAAGUUAGGCACUCUAAGUUGACUGCCGGUGACAAACCGGAGGAAGGUGGGGAUGACGUCAAAUCAUCAUGCCCCUUAUGAUUUGGGCUACACACGUGCUACAAUGGACAAUACAAAGGGCAGCGAAACCGCGAGGUCAAGCAAAUCCCAUAAAGUUGUUCUCAGUUCGGAUUGUAGUCUGCAACUCGACUAUAUGAAGCUGGAAUCGCUAGUAAUCGUAGAUCAGCA
rnacentral:rRNA from 1 species